rnacentral:lncRNA from 1 species
UCGAUAGAAAAGAGCGGCGAUUUGCAAUGGACCGUAAGAGAUCUUUAGCGAAAUAAUAUGGACUUACUGCUGUUUCGUCCGAAAUGACGUCUAUUUUUCCGCACUUACUGCUCCCUUACUUUCUUUUUAAAAUUUUUUAUAAUUUAUGGUGUUUUAACUAAAUCUCACUUAAGAUCAUUAUAGGAUCUAGGAUUUUAAGAUCUUUAAGGUCAUAAAAAUUACAUUAUUCGAGUUUUAGGGGGGAACUCGAUGUUGAAAAUUUGGUCGUUCUCUUCGGUAACACGGCACCAAAGGUAUGACGCAACGCAUCAAUGACACCGUUUGCCCGUAUAUCAUUAGCCAAGGCGUCAAGGCCUCUUAACGGCAUCAAGUACAGCUAAGUCCACAAACUUCGAGCGAUAAAAAACGAGCCAUUCCACUAUUUGUUUUUACGCUAAUGUGCUGCAAUACGAAGCCGGGUGCUUUUUAAACAAUAAUUUAGUCGUGAGAGAUGACUCCCCAAUGGCGAACCACACCAAGCGUCUCCGAGGUUACCCCGCUAACACAGCCAUCCUGAUAGCAGCCCAGCUUGUUUUUUCCCGCAAUUUAUUCUUGGUGAGCUCCUAUUGGUGACAAAAAGUUUUGGAUGGUCUGUUCAAGUACACUCCAUCACCGAAAAUUGUGCUCGUCGAAAAUGAAAGAUUGCCCCAUUCGAACUGAAACUUAAUCCAUUGCUGGUACUAUCGUUUUAUUUUUUUUUCGUCCAGCAAAUAGUAAUUCAGGUUUUCCUGUACGGUGCUAGGUUCUGAUACGCGCUGAAUCUUCCGUAUCACAACAAACUGGACUCUCUUUCGAGACGAACCGGGAAAGAGUCACAGAAUACUACCGGAAACUAAUGACCUGGUCAUCCGGGCAGUACGUAAUGCAGUGGAGAAAACCAAGCUACGCAGGAACCCCGAACUUGGAAGUCCAAAAGCCCGGAACCAGGUUGCAAGUCAGAUCCGAAGACGAGGACAAAGAUCCCACAGUGCCACCGCCACCCCCGAAGACGGUCGAGUUCGAGGAAGAUGGGGAUCCCAUGUACGGGAAGCCGGUGGCUUAUGUGAUGGACCCGCACGAGGACCAGCUCAACGAGCGGAUCGAAGCCAAUGGGGUGGAGAUCUGGGCGAGCAACCCUUGCCAAUGGUACAACGCCGGCAAGGAUUCGCACCCGAACAAAAAGCGAAUGAAGCACUGUAACGACGCCAAGGAGCAUCUCGAAAAAGCCGGCUUCAAGGACGGUGACAGCUCUCUCUGCCCCAAGAUAGAUGGCGCCGACUGCUUCCAGGUCAAAGACAAAUUCCAAUCCGGCCGUUGCUACGCACGGGUCGUCUCCGGUAACAACCAGCACCACUACGUUCUCAUGAACAACUGCGUCCGGGACUGGAUGAAGACCAAGCACAUCCGCGGGACGGAAUGGCCGACGGCCAACGCGAACAGCACCCUCCCUGCCACUCCUGAGGUACCCCAUGAGCCGACGGACAUACUAUCCGACGGAGACCCAAAGUACCGGCAACCGGAAGAACGCUCUGACGACCCACCCGACGAUGUCCUUGACCGCGAGAUGAAGGUCAACGGACACACAAUCUGGUUCCGCAACCCUUGCGAUGACUACGGUCGAGACACGCACUCCGGUGAGAACCGCGAUCGGCGACAAGGCUGCCACAAGAUUGCACAGGCCAUACACGACGCAGGCUUCAAGAACGGCCAGUCGAAGCUUUGUCCACAGAUCGACGGCGCUGAUUGCUUCCAGUUCUUCGAGAAGGAAAAAGACGGCCGUUGCUACGCCAAGGUCAAGGCACCGGACGGUCUCAAGUACGUUCUCUUCUAUAGUUGCGUCCGCGACUGGCAGAAGCAAAAUAACCUCACGCACGAGGCGAAACUGAUCCCCGAGGGCGCCGGCUAUUACAAUCAACCUGAAUUGAAGCCGACUGAUCCGUCCGACGAAGAGAUGGAUCAGGAUCUCAAGGUGGGGCACACGACGAUCUGGGAGACAAACCCGUGUCGCUACUUCGCGCAUAUUGAUUGGGAUGAUGAAGAUAAAGAUAAGGAGGACCUCCGACGCUUGGAUGAUUGUCGCAAUGCGGUGCGGUUCAUGAAGGAGGCCGGCUUUGCGAAUGGGAAGUCUAAGUUGUGUCCGCAGAUCGACGGAGCGAAUUGUUUCCAGUUCAAAGAUUUGGUUAAGUCGGGGCGAUGCUAUGCCAAGGUCAACACGGGGAAGGAGAGGAAGUAUAUUUUGUUGUACGACUGCGUGAAGGACUGGCAGAAGGGAACCAGUGGAAGUGGCGGAAGUAACGGAAGUGACGGAAAUAAUGGAACAAGUGAGUAAAGGGUUGGCUAAUCAGGAACCUCUGGUCUCUGGUGUUGACGCGUAAUCGCCGACUCUCGUCUCAUACGUACAUAAGAACCGGUUUCAGAAUGCUCUCUGGCGCUCUGCGGCAUCCAACCGCCGUAUAAUUCAAAUUGUUGAAGUAGUUAGAUGAAAAUAUCAUUACCAAUUUUUUUUCCACAUCUUCAAAAGUUCUACUCGUUUUCAUGUAAAUGACUCGAUUUUGCCGAAAGUAUAAGAUACGACCCUUCUGAUCUGAGCUACUAAUGAGUGCAGAGGAUUUCAAUUAAUUUACAUCAGAAAAUCUUUAAAAAAUGCCUUAAAAUAUUCUCUUUUAAAUUGCUCGUGUACCUAAUUACUAUAGCAAAUUGCUGUAUAAAGUUGUGAACCCCUUCCCAUCAGAAUCGACCUCCUUGCUUUUCCGCAUGGCUUGCUUUCAUUACAGUCUUAGUGCAUGUGCCGCUGCGCUGAAGAAAAAAACAUAUGAGCAGUUGAACCUUUCCAAUUUCCUCCGAAUAAAAUAUUAAAUUUUGGAACAAGUAACGAGUAUUUUCCUAAUAAUAUUUGUAUUCAGCAGCACUAGGAAAACUCAGGAAUACAAUUUUCUGGAAAAUAUUGAGCGUAGUUCACAUUAAGUUUUAUUAAAAAUUCAUAUUGUAUCAAAAAGAGUUGGGCAACGUCUGGCUCAGCGGCGAUUUUACAAGUUGGCAACUCUGUUUUUUCUCAAUUUGUAUCCAUUAAAAAUAUCGAUUCUUGAUAAGGCAAGCUGUUUCACCAAGAAUCGAUUUGUUUUAUAUACAUUUGAAUGGAAGAAAAACAGUGUUGCUAAGUUUCAAGAAUCGCCACUGGUCCGACUGUUCAUAUGACGUUUUUUCCUUAGGUACCAUGACAGCAUAGUCCUCGGCUGACUAUAUACUCUUUAGCCCGGGCUCUCCAAAAAGGGGAUUUUCUCAAAAUCACACUCAAUGCUUCUUUCUUUUGUAUCCCCUAAAUUCGUAUUUUUUUUAGCCAGCAUAUUCAAUAUUUGAUUCGAAGUGUUUGGUACAUAUUUAAUACAUUUUGAAGCUCUGGUGCCUCAGUUCACUCGUAGUUAUGUACAAAUAAUAACAUUUCAUGGAACAGGUUGCUUUGCUUUAAGCAAAUGUUGCUUCAUGAUAUUUCUACCUGUUUUUUAAAAAUACCUGUGCAUCAAUAGCUUUAAAAAAAAACAAUUUUUACUGUGAACCAUAGACAGUAUAUUUCAGAGACCUCUUAUUGCUUUCUUCUCUAUGUAAAGUGUAAGAGUUACUUCCAGGAAUCAGCGCUCAGAUUCGCCAAAUGAUGAUUGAUGAACAAAGAGUUAAGCAAGUAGUGUAACGAUCCUACCCUAAUAAUUUGCGAAAAUUUGUUCACCAUUGAGUGCUCAACCCGACAUUCAUCAAUCAUUAUUACGGGUAUUUUAUUUGAAUUAUUGCUGAAUACGUGCUCUUCAAUCAUCGGUAAAAUUCCGAACAAAGGCGCAAACCCCAUAUACGCGAAUGAAAAUUUGCCCUUUCGAGGCGGUGGAAGCAAGGGUUCGUUUGCACGAAUAACUGCCAUUGAAGCUUGAGGAAAGGAGACAAGAACAAUUUUAUCGAGUUUAGAAAGCUGAUAGCAAUGUUACAUUAUUUUUUAAUGUCGUGUUUUUAAAUAGUCCCUGUCCAAAAUAAGACGAUCGAUAGCUUAAAAGUUCAGUGAUAUGUUUGUGACGGUUGUUACAUCAAAGCCCGAGAAUACAAAUAAAGAAAAGCUCGAGAAGAAAUAUGUACUUGAUUAUUGACAACGCCUUACCUAGAAUUGGACGUAUUUCUACCAAACGGAAUUAUGUGCAUUAUGACGUGAGCCCUGUUAUGCAUAUAUUCUUAUGGGUCUCAGGGCUCAUGUCUUAAUGCACAUAGUUCUGUUUGACAGAAAUACGUCCAAUUUUAUGUGAGGAACUUUAAGCCGGCCGAAUUUUAGCACCGAAUUGAGGAGUGAGAGAAACGAACAGAGCACCCUCAGUUAGUAUCGUAUGCAACGAACUUUGCGAAUUUCAUUCUAACGCAUUGAUGCAAUUAUUCGAGCUCCACGGCUGUCCGUGUUGCAUACUCAUGAAAGUGAAGGCGUUUCAACUUUUCCCCCACAGCAUGACGGCGCAGCUGGCUAUACUGCGAGGAUCCGAAUGCAGAAAUGACAGGGACUUCUGAAUGACAAGGGCUAUUCUUCGUUUGUAAUACAAAGACAUUUACUAAGCACGUAUAGUUGCACAAAUGCGUAGGAUGUGAGUAUCUUUUGUGCUUCAGUUUUUGAUGUAGCAAUGCGCUGAGCAUGAUUUUUAGCGCAACUAUUCGUGGUUAAGAGAUAUCUUUGUAGUAUUAAAGAGGAAUUUAAAGCACUCUGUCGUUUUUGAUCCUCGUAAAUUCGUAGUACAGUCCGCUGCCGCACCUUGCCCCGAUUGAAGCGGUGAGUGCCUGCAGCCAAAACCGCCUUCUCUUCAGUGCGUAUGCAACACGCACAUUCGUGGGGCUCGAAUAGUUGCAUCCAGUCGUUGAAUCGAGAUUCGCUCGGUGUUUUUUGCAUAUGAUACUCCUUAACUCCACGCCGAUUGUGCCGAUGAAGUUAACUUAUACUGAUUUUUUUCGCAACAUUGUCAAUUUUCCGAAAAAUGCAUUGAUUGUUUAAAUAUACCUCAACGUGCCAACCCUUAAAAUAGCCAAAAAUUUAAGUAUCUGAACAAGAUUUGUUUGAUUGGGUUUUCUUUAACUUACAUUAACGAGUCGUCCUUCGCUCGGAUUAUUUUGUCCUUCUGGAAAAAUAAUUUUGGCGUUUUAGUGCGAAAUUAAAGAACAAUUCUCGAAGCCGCCCUAAAGUUCCUCCCCUAAAAUCCUGGCUCAGGCGCAUACGUUUCUUCUUGAGGAGAUUCGUCAGGGUUUUUGGCGUGGUCGAACUGGCGCGCACAUGCGAUACAGAAAUCGAUAGCUGUAUCGAAUGCGAAGUUUACUUCCGAAACAGACCCUGCUUUUAUUUCUCGGAAUUUUGCAAAUGUUUUGGUUUAGGAUGAUUCUUUUGGCUCAUGCCCACUGCGCAGGGGUUAAAGUCUUUUUUUUUGCCUGAAAUUUCUUAAUGAUCUGAAUUUUUAAUGAUUCGAUGCGAUGCAUCACACACCAGUUCGACCACGUCAGAAUCCAUGACGAAUCACGUACCUUAAUUCCUUCAUCUAGGUAUAUUUUUGGCUGUAUGGGGCGAGUCUCGGACACUCUCGUUUUAUGCUUAUUGGUGUCUCUUACUUGUGGGGUUUGCGCUUUUGAGUCCCAACCCAAUCAUCAACGUUGACCUCCGAACUUAACUUUUGACCAACUCGAUUACAUUGCUGGGAUUGUAAGUGCGGGGUCUCUAAAAUAUACUGCCUUUCAUUGUGAAAUUUUUCUUGAUAUUAGUGUAAAAAGUUGGUCAUAUUGUUGUAGGUACAGAUGACGACUACGACUACCCGUCCGAACCGUCCGGAACGUAUUCAACAGGAAGUUGAAUAAAAUGUAAAACAAGACCGGAGGGGAGAUCAAACAGAAAAUUACAAUAUACAAAAUUACAAAUAAUUACAGUAAAUUUAAAUUUAACUCUGCACUUAUCAUCUUGUACUGCCUAAAAUUAUUAUUUACUCUUUCAUCAAACUGAAGAAAUGCCCAUACAAAACAUAGGCAAAAUUAAAAACCUAAAAAUUUGGAGUAAAAUCACUUGAACUCUUAAAUUAGAAAAAUUUUGAGUAGUACCUACCUCUACAGGUAUUUUUCCGUAAAUAUGAGUUCUCAAGUCUCAUGCCAAAACAAUAAUUGGAACGUACAAUUUUAAAUAAUUUCAAACGUCAAAAUUUAAAGGGACAAUAUUCUAGGAGGUAUCUUCGCUGUCAAGAGAUGAUUUAUACAUCAUCUCUGAAAGAAAUAAAAAUUAUUAUAAAUGAUCGGUGAUCGAAGUCCUACCUGUAGAUGGCUACAAAGUCGAAGAAAAUGAAUUUACGAUUGCACCGCUGCUGCGUUUUAUUACAGUUUAAAAAGAAAACCAACCAAUAUGUUUCCCUGAAAUGUUACAUCCACUCAUACAUUCAGAAAUAUCGAUAAAAUAUUCCAGGGUUUCUUGUAAAGUUUUCUUUUAAAUGUUAAAAACUAAUUUUGGACAGAUAUUGCACCGUUGUGUACUCUCGAAAGAAGUGAAUCGUUUGAGUUGAUUUUGCAAUCAUUGAGUUAAGUUACAUUCCUUCGUUCAACAAGCGACGAAUUUUGCUAUCCCGGCCGUGACUAAGCGCUAACUACAAUUUUUUUCCUACCGGGAGAAACGCAUCUUGCAUGUUAUCAAUGAAAUGAGAGAGUAUACCCAAACACGCAUUGUAUAUAUAUACGUUAUAAUUUAUUAUACGUACUUUUUAAAUUAUGUAAUUUUGUUCUAUCUUUUUAUUUUUUGAAAGCCUCACUACAGCGCUGAAUAAAAACGCCGUUUAUAAUCAGUACCAUAGAGCCAAAAGGUACCUAAGUCACAUUUUGGAGAAAAAUCGAGUUAGUGUCGUUUUGAAAAUCUCCAAUAACGGUUUCGUGCGUGUGGAAAAUUUGGUAGCCCUAUCUUACGCCGGUUAUGAGAUGAUACGGAAUUUCAAAAAUUACGAUUUACUUUGGAAUUAAUUGGGCCGACGCACGGGUUUUCCCUGCUAUCUGAGAAUGACUAAAAUGGAGUUCAGUACCUUUUGACUCUGGGGUACUAAAUUUGGGCUUUGGCAAAUUUCCUCUGAUAAAAGAUUUAACUUUAUGCAAGGUCAGUAAUGUUUUCCCUUGGCAUUUUCACAUACACUGGGGGGAAAAUUACCUGAAUUUGCGGUUAGGAGGAUUUCAUUUAAAUCAAGGAUCCAAUUUCUUCCUCACAAACAUUUUU